CGGAGAGUAGCGCAGCCCGGUAGCGUACUACGUUCGGGACGUAGGGGUCGCGGGUUCAAAUCCCGCCUCUCCGA
rnacentral:tRNA from 1 species